rnacentral:lncRNA from 1 species
GAGUGCAACAUCCUAAUGAACUUCUCACUACACACUGUCAUCUCUGCUCUGCAGAAAACCUCCAUAAGUCGCCUGGAGAACACAUGGGACGAAGUUUCCUGGGAGAGCUCCGAAAACUUCAAGGAACUGUAUAGAAAAGACAAGUCCUUGAGCAGAGAACUGAUGACCAAGUCUGUCUUGUCCAGAUUAACAAGGGGAGGGAUCCUUUUGGUCCACGGGCAGAGGAAGGAGAUUAACCUUGAGAAAAGGACUGAGCCAGUCUUGCCGGCUGGAGCCCCCAUCAUGGUUGGCCAGCAGAAUACUCAAGGCCGAGAAGAAAGAGUUAUCAUCAAGUUCAGGCGUAAGUGUCUGGGCUGAUGGUGACUGAAUCCUAGGGGUUUAGUAAAGCUUCAGGCUAAGCGUGGUCUUGGGGAGUCAGACAGCUGGCGCUGGGAUCCCAGCCCCACCACUGACCAGUCCUGUGACUGGGGAGAUUCCCUU